rnacentral:rRNA from 1 species
GGCUCACGCUUGAAUACAUUAGCAUGGAAUAAUGAAAUAGGACGUUUGAUUCUAUUUUGUUGGUUUCUUAGGAUCGACGUAAUGAUUAAUAAGGAUAGUUGGGGGCGAUUAGUAUUCAAUUGUCAGAGGUGAAAUUCUUGGAUUUAUUGAAGACUAACUACUGCGAAAAGCAUUUUGCCAAGGAUGUUUUCAUUAAUCAAGAACGAAAGUUAGGGGAUCGAAGACGAUCAGAUACCGUCGUAGUCUUAACCAUAAACUAUGCCGACUAGGGAUCGGAUGAUGUUAAUUUUUUAAUGACUCAUUCGGCGCCUUACG